UACAGAGGGUGCGAGCGUUAAUCGGAAUUACUGGGCGUAAAGCGCACGUAGGUGGCGACGUAAGUCGGGUGUGAAAGCCCCGGGCUCAACCUGGGAAUUGCAUUCGAGACUGCAUUGCUGGAGUACGGAAGAGGAGGGCGGAAUUCCCGGUGUAGCGGUGAAAUGCGUAGAUAUCGGGAGGAACAUCAGUGGCGAAGGCGGCCCUCGGGUCCAGUAUUGACAUUCAAGUGCGAAAGCGUGGGGAGCAAACAGG
rnacentral:rRNA from 1 species